rnacentral:tRNA from 2 species
GGCGGAAUAGCUCAGUUGGCUAGAGCGCUCGGUUCAUACCCGAAAGGUCGUGGGUUCAAAUCCAACUUCCGCUACCA